CCAUCACUACCACUGUAUAUUAUUAUAAAUCAAAAGUCAAUAAUUACCGGAUUCAUUUAAAGAGUUAUGUUUUUAGCAUGUCAUUUGGAAGAUGUAUAAGACAGUUAGCUUGUGCUGUUUACUUUUUUGCCUAUAGUGUUGGAACGACCAAUUUGUAUGUUUGUUUGAAUGACUAAAUGCAUCCAGCCAUUGUCAUCAGCAGAACAAAGUAAAAGAUCUGUAAUGUUUCAUCAUGCAUCCCACCUGUGUAGGGUGAUCAGGCCAGAAACAUCCCUGUUGAGACUGUGACAGAGGAGCAGUACACAGAUGAAGAUGGAAACAUAGUGACCAGAAAAGUCAUCCGGAAAGUGGUGCGUCGCACAGCUGGUGUGGAGGACAAAGGCAGGAGAAAGCGUGGGAAGCGUUCCCGGCAGGCCAAUAGGGCCGAGCAGGAGGAAGAGGGGGGCCCCGGGCCCCUCAGAGAGCACACUGAGGCUGGAGAAGGAGAGAAGGGCAUAAAGAAGGAAGGAAGACAAAGGGAAAAAAUGGGUCAACCGUAACAGUUGUGCUC